rnacentral:rRNA from 1 species
GGCGAACGGGUGNGUAACGCGUGAGGAACCUGCCUCAAAGAGGGGGACAACAGUUGGAAACGACUGCUAAUACCGCAUAAGCCCACGGGUCGGCAUCGACCAGAGGGAAAAGGAGCAAUCCGCUUUGAGAUGGCCUCGCGUCCGAUUAGCUAGUUGGUGAGGUAAUGGCCCACCAAGGCAACGAUCGGUAGCCGGACUGAGAGGUUGAACGGCCACAUUGGGACUGAGACACGGCCCAGACUCCUACGGGAGGCAGCAUG